AAAUUUUUAUUUUCGUCAAUUUGUUUUGGCCAAUUUGCAUAAAAUAUUUAUUAGUUUUGAGAUUUUGCAGAUUCGAUCUGAAUUUUUAGAAAAUUAUUCAAAAUAUCCUUAUUUCUUUCUCUCUCUUCUUUUUUUCUCUCGUUAUUUAUUUUUAUUCUCUCCAAAGAGGGCAUCGAAGGUAGAGGCGAGCCCGUCUUGUCUCUACCCCUUGCGCCCUUGCAUGCGCCGGCGCCUGCUCAUCCCCUACCCUCCUCGCCUCCGAUCCUACUCUUUUUUUCUUUUUCUUUUUUUUUCUCUCUAGCCUUCCUCCACCACCUCUGCAGUCCUCUGCGAUGGUAAUGAAGAUAGCACCGCGUCCUCUUCUUCCGCCUUCGCCCUACAUCUCCACUACAGCAGAUUUUUCACCCACCAAACCUACUUUUGUAAACCUGCCAUCCCCCCCAUCGUCGUCGACAACGAAGAGGAAGCACUUCUCGGCAC
rnacentral:lncRNA from 1 species